GCCCGCCUCGUGACCUCGGGUUGCCCUUUACCGGGCAUGAAAAGGGAAGUCCGGUGUGAAAUCCGGCGCUGCCCCCGCAACUGUAACCGGCGAGGCGGAUGCGACUAUGCCACUGGGGACCAUAUCCCCGGGAAGGCCGCAAUCCACCGGCGACCCGGAAGCCAGGAGACCUGCCAGAGCGUCGCCGUUAUC
rnacentral:ncRNA from 2 species